AGAAAAUAACAGGAGUCAAAUAGCAGAAAUAACUUUUUUCUUUUUUUUUUUUCUUGUUUGUAUUAGGGAGCUUCUUACUAAAACCUGCCUUUUUCUCAGCUCUUUAUUGGAAAAUGGUAAUUUUUCCAAACUAGAGACCACCUGUCAGUUUCAUGGUCUGCACAAGCAACUGUGAUCAGCUCCUUCAGUGAGCACCUGAUCUGCAGAGAGCCCAGAGCCGCCUUAUGGAGGUUCCCAAAACUGGCCACACAAGCUUUAACCUCCAGCAGAAAAGCUGAGGGAUAUUAUUGGAGCUACACGAAUUCACACCAGCUGUAGUGGCCUGUUUUAUCAAUGACCUUUCAUUCUUAAAGGCAGUGAAGACCCUUCAGUGAUGGUUUCUCUGUCAGAUAGAUUCUUGCUCAAACUGCCUACGUCAGAACUGACCAGAUCUCAGGUAUUUUCAUCCCUAAUCUCUUUCCCUACAG
rnacentral:lncRNA from 1 species